rnacentral:RNase_P_RNA from 1 species
GCAGAGGGACAGGCGACCGCUGCACGCGGUGCCCUUCAGGGCAUCGGGUGGGGAGGAAAGUCCGAACUCCGGAGGGCAGUGCGCCGGGUAAUCCCCGGUCAGGGCGACCUGAAGGAAAGUGGCACAGAAAACAUACCGCCUCCCGGCGUGCCGGUUAACGGUUCGCCGGGCGGUAAGGGUGAAAAGGUGCGGUAAGAGCGCACCGCGUCCGCCGCAAGGCGGAUGGCAGGCUAAACCCCGCACGGAGCAAGACCGAAUAGGGAGGCGCUCGAGGGCGGCCCGUCCGAAGCCUCCGGGUAGGUUGCUCGACCCCGCCAGCGAUGGCGGGGCUAGAGGAAUGGUCGUCGCCCGGCGCCUGUCCGUUCGCGGGCGGCGGCGGGUACAGAAUUCGGCUUAUCGUCCCUCUGCGGCG